rnacentral:rRNA from 2 species
AUCCGACCUCAGAUCAGGCGGGACUACGCCCUGAAUUUAAGCAUAUCAAUAAGCGGAGGA